rnacentral:rRNA from 1 species
GAUGAACGCUGGCGGCGUGCUUAACACAUGCAAGUCGAGCGGAAGGACGAGAAGCUUGCUUCUCGGAUGUGAGCGGCGGACGGGUGAGUAACACGUGGAUAACCUACCUAUAAGACUGGGAUAACUUCGGGAAACCGGAGCUAAUACCGUAGAAUAUUCUGAAGCACGUGGUUCAAAAGUGAAAGACGGUCUUGCUGUCACUAAUAGAUGGAUACGCGCUGCAUUAGCUGGUUGGUAAGGUAACGGCUUACCAAGGCGACGAGGCGUAGCAGACCUGAGUGAGUGGUCGGCCACCCUGGAGCUGAGACACGGUCCAGGCUCCUACGGGACGCAGCAGUAUGGAAUCUUCCGCAGUGGGCGAGAACCUGACGGAGCAACGCCGCGUGAGUGAUGAAGGUCUUCGGAUCGUAAUACUCUGUUAUUGGGGAUAAACAUAUGUGUAAGUAACUGUGCACAUCUUGACGGUACCUAAUCAGAAAGCCCCGGCUAACUACGUG